ACGCUCGACACCUACGGGGGCAGCAGUGAGGAAUAUUGGUCAAUGGACGCAAGUCUGAACCAGCCAUGCCGCGUGCAGGAUGACGGCUCUAUGAGUUGUAAACUGCUUUUGUACGAGGGUAAACGCAGAUACGUGUAUCUGUCUGAAAGUAUCGUACGAAUAAGGAUCGGCUAACUCCGUGCCAANAGCCGCGGUAAUCUGAGCGGGCUGGCAAGGC
rnacentral:rRNA from 1 species